GAAUAAUUAUUCAAAGAAGCCUUUCAUUCAUUUCUCACUCAUUUUUCUGAAUGGCCAUCAUGAGUAUUCAACCAGUACAUCUUACUCCAGUGCCUGUAAGAUGCAGAAGCAACUUCUUGAUCAAGACACUACUUCUCAUUACUGCUUUUGCUAUUUGUUUUUAUUUGUAUUUUUGUAGAACUUACAACUGGAUGAGCCUAAUGGACCCAGCUAAAAAUCAAUUCAGAGAGAUGUCUGUGGAUGACAUAAUGCGUUCGGUAUGGGACGAUCUCCCAUCAGACGGCAACUUCAGCUCUAUUGAAAGCUCUUCCAGUGGCCAGCACAGUGUAGUCAACCUGGAGCAGCCCGGAGCCCAGUACUGUGUGGGGGACAGCUUAAUCGUGCUGGUGAACAUGAAGGACCACAGGGGGAACCCAAAGGUGCAUGGAGGCGACUUCAUCCUGGCCCGAAUCCACUCUCCCAAUCUCCAGGCUUCUGCAUCAGGAGAAGUUACUGACC